GCUGGCUGUCCUUGAAACCUGACCUCUGUAGCUUUUUGCGCCCAGUGGUCAUGCCGUCCCUGUCUCACUCCAACCAUUUCUGACAGGAGACAUGCUGAUCUCAACAGCAAGUCCUGGCACCUGGGACACACUGGGAUUACACAGAUAUUUCUGAGGUACCCAUCACGGUUACUUUACUACAAAGAAAUAUGAGGGAGGAGUACAAAGGAGCCACUGAGAAGCAAGAGGAGCAGCAAAGCAAACAAGCCUGGACUCAAAAUCAUUGUUCUGAACAUUGUCAAUACCACUUCCAGACUGGAUGAUGCUCUUUUCUAAGGUUCUGCUCAAGUAAAUAAGAUCGUAACAGCACUGAUCUUGUUGACACUUUAUGUUGAAGAAUCUGUCACACUUUUAUUGUAUACAAGCAUUCCUCAUCAUGAGCUUCUAAGCUUGACAACCUCAAUUCCACAAUGCAGACAUAAAUUCAGGAAAUAGCUAGGUGUUCAGAAGAACUCUCCAAUGUACAAGAGGUUAAUAUCAAGUCUAAAGGAAUAAAACAAGAUCUGAUAUUUCUAUUCACAUGGCCACUAACAAUGUUCUGAAUAUUACACAUUUCUGAAACGCUUCCUAUUAACUGACUACAUCAGGAGAGUCAUGAGUUGCAAGUUUUGCCCAAGUUUUGUUUAAAGAUAUUACUAAUUUUCAGUUAUUAGUAUUAAAUUUAAGUAUGUCAGCAUUUCCAUUGUAAACCCUAUUCUCAAAGGUUUAUAAAAUUAUUGGAAAAAACAAUUAUUCUGAGGUAGCACUCAAUACUUACAGGUAAAUUUUCAAAGUGCAGCAUGCAGUUUUAGCUCCUGAUCUCUGAACAAAGUCAGUAAGAAGCUGCAAAGAGGCACCAAUGCUUUGAAAUUUUACUUCAAAGUCUCACUCCAGGAACAAAUUCUGUCACACAAACAAAACAAAACAAAAAAAAAAUCAAUUUGACCUCUUUAAAUCUGAAAAAUUCAUGCACUGUAACUACUUUUUAAUAAAGAUUUUCAGUGUUACCUAAAUCUGCCCAGAUCAUAAGCAACAGCUUUGGGGAAAAAAAGAAGACGGAGUAGAGAGGAUGGGAUGUACGGUAUCUGUAAAGGUAGACCUGUUGUUGCUUUAACCAAAAGCAAAACCAGCAUAAAUACUUACAAACAUGUUUCCAGCCUGCUCUACAUACAAAAAUAAAUAAAUAAAUAAAUAAAUAAGCACAUUUGUUCAUGUAUCAACAUGACUGUAGUAAACUGUACUGAUUAAAUGCAACUUCAAUAAUCAAGAAAGAUGACCCUUCUCUAUUACCAAAAACCAGGUAAAUGACUAAAUGACUCAAAACCAGUAAAAUUAUAUACUGAAAGAUCUGAAGGGGACUACACUGACUAUAAAGAUGACUGGUGAUGUGGCAUUGAAGGAAAAACAUAAUUUUUCAUUGAUGUAAGGCAGCAGAGCUAGAAAGAACACAAAUACAACAGUAGAUCCAUUAACCGUAUGACAAGAAACAGUGUUCACAUCCACUUACUAAACUGUUUUUGAAUCUUUAGUACCAACAUGCAGAAUGAUCCUUACAUUAUGUUGCCAAGGAAAACCUAAAAUGCAUUUAUUUCAUAAUGUAGCUUUCUGCCAUUAUCAUAAUAGAGCCAUCACAGUUGUUGCAAACACUGUAUGGCCUCAAACACCUAAGUCCAACUGUUAAAUUGGACAUUUUUUAAGAGGAGGACAUUUUAAGCCUCCCUAGGGAUUUGUGUUGCCUGGCAAACUGCCAGCAGAAACCAUCUAUUACUACAAAGCCUUGCUUACAUGUGAGGGAGGAGGAAAUGAUCUCAGCUAACAAAGGGGACAUAUUUGGAACAAUGACCAAAGAAUGUCUGCUUCAAAGCCAUAAAAGUUAACACUGUACACUGACAUAGCCUUGGGUGGGAUUUAGGCUGAAUUGAUGAGGCUUAGGGAGCUCAUGUUCAUUCAUGGCAAGUGUUUUUUUCUCUUCUCUGAUGUCAAAUUACACUUUAAACUUUAUUUUUAUCCUGAAGCCCAUCCCACCCGCUCCCAACACUUAAACUUUGUGCACAGAGAGGCCAAGACUGCAUUGCAAAAGGGAAAUAUAAGAUAGUACAGCAACUGAGACUCAAAUAAAAGCUCUAUAAAAUAUUCCCUUCUUUCUUUAAAUAGGAAGACUGCAAUUGACAGGGUUUUUGUUGUUGCUGCUGUUGUUUUGUUAUUUAAUUAUGGCCUUACUUAUCAAACACUGCAACAAGUCAGGGACAGAUGGACACUUUCUCCUUUGCUUUAGGGUGAAAAUCAACAAUAACAUCCGUACAACCUAUACUGCAACAUCCAUGUUUAAGUCUUUGUUUUAAUAUUUCAUUAAUAACAUUGUGUGAUAUUUUAGUCACGUAGCCACUGUAUUGAUACUAUCUUGUCAAUUACCCACUAACUCAAAAGAGCUCAGAAUGACUAAUCAAGAGUUAAAUCUAUUAUAUAUCCAUUUAAUUUAAAGUAUCAUUAAUUUCAUGAGGAUUUGUUUAUGUAUCGAAUCAAACUAAGAAGCACAGACACCUUUGUUUUGCUUGUCUCUUCAUAUCAAAAGAGCUUUUAGACAAUCAAAAAUAUUUGUGGUGGAUUAAAAUAUGGCACUUGCAUUGAUCAAUGUUCCAGAUUUUCAGCAUGUGUUGAAGUUUUACUCUUGGCUGUAGCUGAGACAAUCCUGACAAUAAAUUCUCAUCUGCAUUAGCAAUAAAA